UCCCGUUCCGGAUUUGCAGCGUGGCUCCCCGCCCCAGCUGGGCUCGGGCUGGCCCCGCGGCGCCUGCCAGCGGAAGGGAAGGGAGGCGCCCCUGGGCCAGAGCGCGGCGCCAUGGAGGCGCUGCUGGCCCCGGCCCACUGGAGCACGCUGCUCGUGUGCACGGUGAUCAAGCUGCCGCAGGUGGUGGCUGUGCUGGCGGCCCGCUCCGCGCGCGGCGUCAGCCUGGAGAGCCUGGUGCUGGAGCUGAGCGGCUUCCUUGUGUUUCUAAGGUACCAGAGUUACUACAGUUACCCCCUAGAGACUUACCUGGAAUACCCCAUCCUAAUUGCACAAGAUGUCAUUCUCCUGCUCUUUGUUCUGCAUUACAGUGGCAACAUGAAACAAGCUUUGCCUUACGUAGUCAUGUAUCCUUUGACGUCUACUCAUUUUCAUUUACACAGCACUUCUGGCAGCUCUUUGACAGAAGACUGAGCAUUUUAUCUCCUAGUGCCAGAGAAAACCAUAUUCAGCCACCUUUUAAUGUGCAUUUCGUAUUUGCAUGCAACCUUCUUAGAUCCCAGUAAAACCCUUUAUACAGCAAACCCUAUAUCAGUAACUGAUUUUACUGGACCCACAACUGAGGAGGAAUGAGACUAAUUCAUAAUUUACAUUUGUAUCAGAUAUGCACAAUGGAAAAUAUGAAGCUUCUUGUAACUCUUUUACACAAUUACGUCAACUGUGGAUCAUACACACAGUGACUUUUAGAUGCUCCUUUGAAAAGAUAUACAGCUUUGGGUUUCCAUUUGGCACUGGACGCUUUGGAGCGGGGCUUGAUAAAUUUAUCAGACACCAACCAGAGAUAAUGUGAAAAAUGCGGGUGAGGGAACCACCAGCAACAUCUGGGGUAGUGACUGCUGAAAAAGUGACCACCUUGCCAUUCCUGCUGCUGCUGAAGGGGAGAGGGCUGGGAUUUACACCAGCAUACUGUCUUUCGGCUCUGUUUUGGGGCUCCAUCUUUCUUAACAGCUUCAACCUGCAGAAUUUGUGUACGUUAAUCAGUGCAGCAAGUAAAUUUGCUCAGCUGCGGUAUCUGUGGCAGACAAGAGAUUCCGGACAAGUGAGCGCCCUGACCUGGAGUAUGUCCGCAUACACAUGUGCAACAAGAAUAGUUAC